rnacentral:rRNA from 1 species
ACGGAGGGGGCUAGCGUUGUUCGGAAUUACUGGGCGUAAAGCGCACGUAGGCGGCUUUGCAAGUUAGAGGUGAAAGCCCAGGGCUUAACCCUGGAAUUGCCUUUAAAACUGCAUCGCUAGAAUUGUGGAGAGGUAAGUGGAAUUCCCAGUGUAGAGGUGAAAUUCGUAGAUAUUGGGAAGAACACCGGUGGCGGAGGCGGCCAUCUGGACCGCAACUGACGCUGAGGCGCGAAAGCCAGGGGAGCAAACGGGA